UGCCAGCAGCCGCGGUAAUACGAGGGGAGCGAGCAUUGUUCGGAAUCACUGGGCGUAAAGCGUGCGUAGGCGGAUAAGAAAGUCAGAAGUGAAAGCCCAGGGCUCAACCUUGGAACUGCUUUUGAAACUUUUUAUCUAGAGUAUGGGAGAGGAUAGCAGAAUUUCCAGUGUAGAGGUGAAAUUCGUAGAUAUUGGAAGGAAUACCGAUUGCGAAGGCAGCUAUCUGGACCAUUACUGACGCUGAGGUACGAAAGCGUGGGGAGCAAACAGGAUUAGAUA
rnacentral:rRNA from 1 species